rnacentral:rRNA from 1 species
GUCGUCGUGAUUGUAUACGACCAAGCUUAGAGUUUGAUCAUGGCUCAGGAUGAACGCUAGCGGGAGGCUUAACACAUGCAAGCCGAGGGGUAUUCAGUUGCUUGCAACUGAAGAGACCGGCGCACGGGUGAGUAACGCGUAUGUAACUUGCCUCAUUCAACGGGAUAGCCCGGGGAAACCCGGAUUAAUAUCGUAUAACAGCCGGACAGGCAUCUGUUUGGUUUGAAAGAUUCAUCGGAAUGAGAUAGACAUGCGUAUGAUUAGCUUGUUGGCGGGGUAACGGCCCACCAAGGCGAUGAUCAUUAGGGGUCCUGAGAGGGUGAUCCCCCACACUGGUACUGAGACACGGACCAGACUCCUACGGGAGGCAGCAGUGAGGAAUAUUGGACAAUGGGUGAGAGCCUGAUCCAGCCAUCCCGCGUGCAGGAAGACGGCCUUAUGGGUUGUAAACUGCUUUUAUACAGGAAUAAACCAUCUUACGAGUAGGGUGUUGAAGGUACUGUAUGAAUAAGCACCGGCUAACUCCGUGCCAGCAGCCGCGGUAAUACGGAGGGUGCAAGCGUUAUCCGGAUUUAUUGGGUUUAAAGGGUCCGCAGGCGGGUCUGUAAGUCAGGGGUGAAAUCCGGCAGCUUAACUGUCGAACUGCCUUUGAUACUGCAGGUCUUGAGUGGGAAUGAAGCAGCUGGAAUGUGUGGUGUAGCGGUGAAAUGCAUAGAUAUCACACAGAACACCGAUAGCGAAGGCAGGUUGCUAAUUCUCAACUGACGCUGAGGGACGAAAGCGUGGGGAGCGAACAGGAUUAGAUACCCUGGUAGUCCACGCCGUAAACGAUGGAUACUGUCUGUUGGUUCGUAAGGAUCAGUGGAUAAGCGAAAGUGAUAAGUAUCCCACCUGGGGAGUACGUUCGCAAGAAUGAAACUCAAGGAAUUGACGGGGGCCCGCACAAGCGGUGGAGCAUGUGGUUUAUUCGAUGAUACGCGAGGACCUUACCAAGGCUUAAAUGUAUAAUGACAGGGUGGAAACACCUUUUUCUUCGGACAGUAUGCAAGGUGCUGCAUGGCUUUCGUCAGCU